UUGUCCGGGAGGAUGAGGGGUCAAGACAGGAAUGGAGAGAAUGGUUUCCUCAUGCUGAGCAAGAAAAGGAGCACACUCCUGCACAGCAUGAACCGACUGCUGAAGCCAGCAAUGAAGGCAGAUUCUGUGAAGUACUGAGACCUCCUGGAGCCAAGGGAGUUUGAAAAGUCCUCAACAUCUUUCCACUUUUGGCUACCUCAUAAUACAGGCAUUAAUGGAUGAAUGUUCUAAUGUUCUUCCUUCUCCCACCUCCCCCCACCAAUCCUGCGAAGAAAAAUCACUCAGUAAAAAUGGUAGGCUAUGGAUAACAACUUCAAACAAGGUAUUUUUUUGCUGCUAUUGUUAGCAAUUGAAAUGAGUCCUUUCUUUGCUCUUGCUACACUACCCAGGAGAAG